GCACCCAGUGGCGAACGGGUGAGUAACACGUAUCUAACCUACCCAUUAGCGGGGGAUAACAGUUGGAAACGACUGCUAAUACCGCAUACGACAUUUUCUGGCAUCAGAGAAUGUUAAAAGGUCCGUUUGGAUCACUAAUGGAUGAGGAUGCGGCGUAUUAGUUAGUUGGUGGGGUAAUGACCUACCAAGACAAUGAUACGUAGCCGAACUGAGAGGUUGAUCGGCCACAUCGGGACUGAGACACGGCCCGAACUCCUACGGGAGGCAGCAGUAGGGAAUUUUUCACAAUGGGCGAAAGCCUGAUGGAGCAAUGCCGCGUGACUGAAGACGGUCUUCGGAUUGUAAAGGUCUGUUGUAAGGGAAGAACAGUAAGUAUAGGAAAUGAUACUUAUUUGACGGUACCUUACCAGAGAGCCACGGCUAACUAUGUGCCAGCAGCCGCGGUAAUACAUAGGUGGCAAGCGUUAUCCGGAUUUAUUGGGCGUGAAGCGUGCGCAGACGGUUUAACAAGUUUGGGGUCAAAUCCUGGAGCUCAACUCCAGUUCGCCUUGAAAACUGUUAAGCUAGAGUGUAGGAGAGGUCGAUGGAAUUCCAUGUGUAGCGGUGAAAUGCGUAGAUAUAUGGAGGAACACCAGUGGCAAAGGCGGUCGACUGGCCUAUCACUGACGUUUAGGCACGAAAGCGUAGGGAGCAAAUAGGAUUAGAUACCCUAGUAGUCUACGCCGUAAACGAUGAGUACUAAGUGUCGGACUAAGUUCGGUGCUGCAGUUAACGCAUUAAGUACUCCGCCUGAGUAGUAUGCUCGCAAGAGUGGAACUCAAAGGAAUUGACGGGGACCCGCACAAGCGGUGGAGCAUGUGGUUUAAUUCGAAGCAACGCGAAGAACCUUACCAAGGCUUGACAUCCAGUGCAAAGCUGUAGAAAUACAGUGGAGGUUA
rnacentral:rRNA from 1 species